CUAACUUAACUUGCUCUCGUCCCUUCCCUUCCCUUCCAGCCGUCGGACUCCAACUCCUGGGCAGGUGCGUGCAGCAGCCAGGCUCGAUGCCAGCGCCACGCCACGCCACCGCGGCUGUUGCGUUGUGCCGCUGCAGAUCUUGCGCUGCGCCUCCACCUGCUGUCGCACUGCGUCCGCAGCUCUCGGCUCGACGCGUCGAUUCGUUGAUGGAUUCUUCCGCAUCCGAAACCUAUCGCCGGCCGCGUCACACUUUGCUGAUGAGAGUGCGAGAUCCAGCAGGAAGGGUAUUCAGUGAGGGGCACCAUGAUCUGGCGGGUAAGGAACUACUCCAGCGUGGCCAUUGCUAGCUCGUCCCUCCCCACUCUCAUCUCUGCAGUGGCUGGUUGCGACCAUUUCUACUGGGUGGCUGAUGCAAUGCCAAUAGGUGUUUGAGGAAAUGCAGGAAAAGCGGUUGGUGAUUCUGUUUUUAAGGUGUUUGGGAUUAUUAAAAGAUUUUGAUUUCUUGACUAGUUUGGUACUGAAAUGCAAUGUCUACAAUUAUUUUUGUUUCUCUAAGCAUUGCAGAGAGUUGUUGCAGUAGGCGCUUUGCUGGUGGGGCAUUGGAAGAGAGUUCUACAUGUGUCCUAUAGUCUAAACUUCAGAGAGCAAAGAAUGAGAACGCUUUUCUGAUGGCCAAACUGAAGUUAGGUACUUGCUUAUCACUAGAAUGCCAUUAUUCCCUUACGCAUCUAAGGGUAAAACCCUCCAAUUCAUGUCUUCCAAUGAUGAUAUUUUGGUGACACUGAACUUGUGGCUUAGAGACAUAUAACUUUUAGUUGCUGCACUACUACUGCUGUGCUUUUGGCUAUUGACCUAUUGUGCUGCUGCUACGCAUGUGCUGGAAAAUUUGAGACUUGAGACCCUACAUGUGUAAUGAAUUGGUGGAUUGAUGUAAUGAUAUUGUAUUUAUUGUGGAGAUGUUAAUUCAUUUGGAUCUGAUGUUUUA